AGGCGGAAUCCAACUAAUAUUUUCAAAGUUUUGGGCAUAAGAUAAAUAACACAAAGAAUUCUUAGAACCAUCCGUUGCAUCAAUUUUAAUAAAAUAUAUUGCCGACACGGCUUAUGUCAGCACUGAUGCAACAUGGAUCUGCGUGGUGACAGAAAUGGAUUUUUCUCCCGUCAGCUUUGGACUUUGGACUUUGGACACCACUCAUG
rnacentral:lncRNA from 1 species